rnacentral:rRNA from 1 species
GAUGAACGCUGGCGGUCUGCUUAACACAUGCAAGUCGAACGAACUCUUCGGAGUGAGUGGCGGACGGGUGAGUAACGCGUGAGAAUCUGCCUGUGGGUCGGGGACAACCACUGGAAACGGUGGCUAAUACCGGAUGAGCCGAAAGGUAAAAGAUUUAUUGCCCACAGAUGAGCUCGCGUCUGAUUAGCUAGUUGGUAAGGUAAAAGCGUACCAAGGCGACGAUCAGUAGCUGGUCUGAGAGGAUGAGCAGCCACACUGGGACUGAGACACGGUCCAGACUCCUACGGGAGGCAGCAGUGGGGAAUAUUGCACAAUGGGCGAAAGCCUGAUGCAGCGACGCCGCGUGAACGAUGAAGGCUUUCGAGUCGUAAAGUUCUGUUCUUGGGGAAGAUAACGACGGUACCCCAAGGAGAAAGCACCGGCUAAAAUACGUGCCAGCCGCCGCGGUAAU